UGGGGGAUAUUGCACAAUGGGCGAAAGCCUGAUGCAGCGACGCCGCGUGGGGGAUGAAGGCCUUCGGGUUGUAAACUUCUUUUGCUCUGAACAAGGCAUGCCUUUGGGGUGUGUUGAGUGUAGGGGUUGAUUAGCGCCGGCUAACUACGUGCCAGCAGCCGCGGUAAUACGUAGGGCGCGAGCGUUGUCCGGAAUGAUUGGGCGUAAAGGGCUUGUAGGUGGCUGGUUGCGUCUGUCGUGAAAGCUCAUGGCUUAACUGUGGGUUUGCGGUGGGUACGGGCUGGCUUGAGUGCAGUAGGGGAGGCUGGAAUUCCUGGUGUAGCGGUGGAAUGCGCAGAUAUCAGGAGGAAUACCGGUGGCGAAGGCGGGUCUCUGGGCUGUUACUGACGCUGAGGAGCGAAAGCGUGGGGAGCGAACAGG
rnacentral:rRNA from 1 species